GACACCAAGGUUGUUGUACUCCUUGCACCCUCAUAUGUUGGGUGCUUGGUUAUGAUCUGCCUAGGAGUCUCGGUAAGGUGCUUGGCAAUGUGUUGCUUCUACUAGAGAAUUAAGGUGCUCGGUGAUGUUAUCUUGCUCGGUAAGGUGCUUUGUGAUUUGUUGUUCUCGUACUUGACUGGGAAUCAGCCGGUGUUCGUGUUGGGGUGUUCAGUUUGCGAGUGCUUCUUUCUCGUGGGCUGGCUUUACCUUGACAUGCAUGCUUUGAUCUUCCAGACAUGGUGCAUGAGUGGUGCUUGGUGUGUUAGGGCAAGUUGGUUCCCUGCUCGUGCAGCGACAAUUUGGCCUUCUCACCUCUUCAUUUGUUUGGCCAAGUGCUCUUGGUCUCGGUUGGGUUUUCUGUGUUGCAUACCUUGGUGAUGGCAUUUGUCUCGUACACAAUGAAUUAUGAUCAGCUUAGUGUUGCUCCCAUAAUGGGUUGCGGCACGAGGUGGAUCCGGAAAGCAACCGGUGUGCCUCCACUUUCUAGUGCAUAUGCACUUUUGAUUGUUGGAACAUGCCGAAUUGCUCGAGCUCUUGGGUGCAGAAUACAACAUGGAUAUGUGGUCUCAUGGCUGCUAUUUGUCCCUUCGGCAUUUUUAUGCUCUAUUCGCAUGACGUCCGGGUUGGUAAUGGCUGGAGCUGUGGCACCAUCCUUGCUUACUCGGAUUGUCUAUGAGGAAUGCUACCUGGUUGAUCCUGCCAGUAGUCAUAUGCUUGUCUCA
rnacentral:misc_RNA from 1 species